rnacentral:rRNA from 1 species
UCCAGAGGUCUCAAGCGUUGUUCGGAUUCAUUGGGUUUAAAGGGUGCGUAGGUGGGUUGGUAAGUCAGUGGUGAAAUCCCCGAGCUUAACUUGGGAACUGCCAUUGAUACUAUCAGUCUUGAAUACCGUGGAGGUCAGCGGAAUAUGUCAUGUAGCGGUGAAAUGCUUAGAUAUGACAUAGAACACCAAUUGCGAAGGCAGCUGGCUACUCGGAUAUUGACACUGAGGCACGAAAGCGUGGGGAUCAAACAGG